rnacentral:rRNA from 1 species
GAUGAACGCUGGCGGCGUGCCUAAUACAUGCAAGUCGAGCGAACAGACGAGGAGCUUGCUCCUCUGACGUUAGCGGCGGACGGGUGAGUAACACGUGGAUAACCUACCUAUAAGACUGGGAUAACUUCGGGAAACCGGUGCUAAUACCGGAUAAUAUAUUGAACCGCAUGGUUCAAUAGUGAAAGACGGUUUUGCUGUCACUUAUAGAUGGAUCCGCGCCGCAUUAGCUAGUUGGUAAGGUAACGGCUUACCGAGGCAACGAUGCGUAGCCGACCUGAGAGGGUGAUCGGCCACACUGGAACUGAGACACGGUCCAGACUCCUACGGGAGGCAGCAGUAGGGAAUCUUCCGCAAUGGGCGAAAGCUUGACGGAGCAACGCCGCGUGAGUGAUGAAGGUCUUCGGAUCGUAAAACUCUGUUAUUAGGGAAGAACAAAUGUGUAAGUAACUAUGCACGUCUUGACGGUACCUAAUCAGAAAGCCACGGCUAACUACGUG